ensembl:lncRNA novel transcript
GGGGGGAGACAGGCACAGACAGACAUUGGGUUGGGACCCGGGAGGCCUUGUUUCUCUCGGGCCCUGGCCGCCAAAGGGCCGUCGCAGGCGUCUGGGGACAUCAGCUCCAUGCGGCUCUGGGCCAGGGCAUGCUCGGGCAGGGGGACGGGGUCUGCGAAUAGUGACUCUGUGUCCGCGUGCGUCCCCGAGAGCCGGAGGCCCAGGCCGGCCCCUCUGCGGUUUGGGAACCACUCAGGCGCCUCUGUGGAGCGGGCGGGAAAAGACGCCGCGGCCUCCUUGGCAUUCUAACCCGUGUCCGGACCCUAGAGGCCGGCCGGUCUCAACCACCGGGAGGGCCUGGGAGGGAACCGUGUGGCCCGGGGCCAGCAGUGUCGCCAUCGGGCUCCGAGAGAGCAAAGCUGUGGCCUUGAACUUCUCCCCGAAGCUCCUGUGCCCUGAGUCGGGGAAGCAGGAAGUUGUUGCCACCGGGAAGGAAGAGAGCGCGCUCGGAGCUGGGCAGCGGCUCCAGGCACCGCGCCCCUGCCCAUCCCACGCCUCCCCGGGCACCGUGAACCACCCCCCAACCCAACUCCUCCAGGCACCUUGCGCGCCCCUCUUACAUCUCCCGGCACUGUGCGCUGACCCCUGCCUCCGCCGGCCGGCUCCCGUGUGCCGAGUCCGGACUCCCACCCCUCUGGGCACCCCUUGCUCCGCGGGGCCGGCGGUGUCCUGGAAGCCGCCGCGGGGUUGCCCGUGCG